UUUCCGUAGGUGAACCUGCGGAAGGAUCAUUAGUGAAUUGAAUAUGCUAGCGGACCUCUUCGGAGUCCCUAGCAUCAAAUCAUAUCCAUAACACCUGUGAGCUGUCAGGCUGUCCUGAAAACGAAAGUGCGUAGAGCGCCUGCACAUUUUAUACAAUCAUGAAACUAACUCACGUAGUCUUAUAAUAAUCAGAUAAAACUUUCAACAACGGAUCUCUUGGCUCUC
rnacentral:misc_RNA from 1 species